AGUGUGAGGCGAUAACAGGUCUGUGAUGCCCUUAGAUGUUCUGGGCCGCACGCGCGCUACAAUGAUGCAAUCAACGAGCCUAUCCUUGACCGACAGGUCCGGGUAAUCUUUGAAACUGCAUCGUGAUGGGGAUAGAUUAUUGCAAUUAUUAAUCUUCAACGAGGAAUGCCUAGUAAGCGCGAGUCAUCAGCUCGCGUUGAUUACGUCCCUGCCCUUUGUACACACCGCCCGUCGCUCCUACCGAUUGGAUGUGCUGGUGAAGUGUUCGGAUUGGCGGCAGUGGGCGGUUCGCCGCUUGCUGCAGCCGAGAAGUUCUCUAAACCCUCCCAUCUAGAGGAAGGAGAAGUCGUAACAAGGUUUCCGUAGGUGAACCUGCGGAAGGAUCAUUG
rnacentral:rRNA from 2 species